rnacentral:rRNA from 1 species
GUCUGGGAAACUGCCUGAUGGAGGGGGAUAACUACUGGAAACGGUAGCUAAUACCGCAUAACGUCGCAAGACCAAAGAGGGGGACCUUCGGGCCUCUUGCCAUCGGAUGUGCCCAGAUGGGAUUAGCUAGUAGGUGGGGUAACGGCUCACCUAGGCGACGAUCCCUAGCUGGUCUGAGAGGAUGACCAGCCACACUGGAACUGAGACACGGUCCAGACUCCUACGGGAGGCAGCAGUGGGGAAUAUUGCACAAUGGGCGCAAGCCUGAUGCAGCCAUGCCGCGUGUAUGAAGAAGGCCUUCGGGUUGUAAAGUACUUUCAGCGGGGAGGAAGGCGAUAAGGUUAAUAACCUUGUCGAUUGACGUUACCCGCAGAAGAAGCACCGGCUAACUCCGUGCCAGCAGCCGCGGUAAUACGGAGGGUGCAAGCGUUAAUCGGAAUUACUGGGCGUAAAGCGCACGCAGGCGGUCUGUCAAGUCGGAUGUGAAAUCCCCGGGCUCAACCUGGGAACUGCAUUCGAAACUGGCAGGCUAGAGUCUUGUAGAGGGGGGUAGAAUUCCAGGUGUAGC